AUUGAACGCUGGCGGCAUGCCUUACACAUGCAAGUCGAACGGCAGCACGGGAGCAAUCCUGGUGGCGAGUGGCGAACGGGUGAGUAAAGUAUCGGAACGUGCCCAGUCGUGGGGGAUAACGUAGCGAAAGUUACGCUAAUACCGCAUACGAUCUAUGGAUGAAAGCGGGGGAUCGCAAGACCCAGCGCGCUUGGAGCGGCCGAUAUCAGAUUAGGGAGGUGGUGGGGUAAAGGCUCACCAAGCCGACGAUCUGUAGCUGGUCUGAGAGGACGACCAGCCACACUGGGACUGAGACACGGCCCAGACUCCUACGGGAGGCAGCAGUGGGGAAUUUUGGACAAUGGGCGAAAGCCUGAUCCAGCCAUGCCGCGUGCAGGAUGAAGGCCUUCGGGUUGUAAACUGCUUUUGUACGGAACGAAAAGGUUUGGCCUAAUAAGCUGAGCUCAUGACGGUACCGUAAGAAUAAGCACCGGCUAACUACGUGCCAGCCGCCGCGGUAA
rnacentral:rRNA from 1 species